AAACGUUCUAGGCAGCAUUGAACUCUUGGAUCCAGACAGCACCAUGCCUUUGGCCGGCCCUGCCCCUUCCCAGCAUGCAUCGUAUUAUAUCGCCUUGUGACUGUAUUGCAGUUAUGUCAUGAUCUUGGUUAAAUAGUUGGGAGUUCAACAUUUUGUCCAACAGUGAGUGAUACAUAAAGUCAAGUAAGAAAGUCAGAAACAACUUGACAACAGAAUAGUGGGGUUCACAGGAGAACACCAGGUUGGCUGCACCACUUUGCUACAGGCAGGGCCGUCUUUAACAGGGGCAAAAGGAGAAGACUGUAUGUGCCCUGAGGAUAAUUUCUAACCAUUUCAUACCGGAACUGCAGAUGAUGGUUUGGAUUAUGAUAAAAAUGUAUGAGAAAGAUGGCAGGCGACAAUGAAACAGAAGAUGACAAAACAUAGAGAAAUAAAGGGCAAGGUCUUAACUAACUCUCCAUAAACGUUCCCUGGAUCUUCUAAACUAAACUGACACAGACCCUUACCUCACUGCCCUAAUAAAAUCUCAACAAUAGUCAUUGCCUAUGCCAAAGAAACAAGCAGAAGCCACUAAGACCCAGAAAAACAUAACCAAGUCAACUCUGAAUAUCGCAGGAGAAAGAAACUAAACAAGGCAUGAACUUGGGAGAGAACAGAACCAACACUUGGGUAGGCUUACUGUGAUCACUCAAGUCCUUGGAGCUAUUAUAUGCUAACUAAUGGCACUUUAUCCAAACAAUCCAGGCCUGAGCAAGGAUUCCUCAAUCCAUUACUUUGUAAUCAGACUACGAGACAGUUACUUAGCAACUGCUUUAGGCAAAAGGAAACAGGAUAAGAGGAAACAGGAGGAAACUUCCUACUAUUUGUAACAAUUACAGACAAGUAUACGCUCUC